UUAAAUUGAAGAGUUUGAUCAUGGCUCAGAUUGAACGCUGGCGGCAGGCCUAACACAUGCAAGUCGAACGGUAACAGGAAGAAGCUUGCUUCUUUGCUGACGAGUGGCGG
rnacentral:rRNA from 2 species